ACCAGAUGGGAAAGAGUGUCCAAGUCAAAGGAACACAGAAGAAGAACAGGACAACUGACUCACGCUAACGUCGUUCUCGCAGGAUAUUCCCUCUCAAGGUCCUGUGACUUGGCAGUGAAGUGAUUCUGCCCCAAGCACGGAAUCAAGCUGCAGAGGAGGAAGCUCACUGUCACUAAGUGUGUGGCUGGUGCUGCCAUUUUCUCCUCCUGUCUUAAAUCAAGCCUCAGUGGGGAACAGACUCUCACUCGGAAUUCUCCCCACCAAAGACACUGUAUAAAUCACCUAUGACACAUAGGGUCAGAUUCUCCUACCGUACUGAAAUUCAAAAGGGUAAAGUUAAGAAAUCUUUUCUCCAACCAAACCAGGUGGACUGACCUACCCCUGUGGUGGCUCCUCCUCAUCUGAGGAUUGGUAGGAGAACUUUUCCAGCAAGGUAUAUUCUGUGGGAAGUAAAAGGACACAGAGUGAGUCAGCAGGUGCAGAAGAGGAGCAGGGAAGAGAGGUUUUCUAGCCCCAGGUCACCCCAUCAACGUGAAAUAGCCCAUCUCAAACAGGGCACAGCACCCAGGGCAGGCUGUGUGUCCCUGCCGGCUCUUCAGGCUCCUGCCUCCUAAUCUGACUUGAGCUCACUUGCCCUCCCUUCCUGAGUCCUUCCAAUCUCAUUUCCCCCCUAGAAUCCACCUCUGGUGCUUCUGUGUGCAUCAGUCAUUCUGCAAUAUGUUAUACUUGGUAAAAAGCAACCUUUCUUCUGAGACAUCUCCUUUGAGCCAAAUACACGGUAUGUUCACCAGGCUUCUGUACUGAAGACAAUAAAGCUUUGAAAAUACUUAGUUGUCCUCUCCUUUAAAGGACGCCCCUAUUUAGCAAGUGCUAUCUGUCCUUGCACUGACCUUCUCAACGCAACAUCUGCGUGUGUCAAGAGUCCAUUGCUGCUCACACUCACACUGGCUCUGACACUGGAACAGUCUGUCAGGGGAGCAGCAGGUGGGGGAAUUGACCAGAGCUCUCCAUCCCAGCCGUGCAGCAGGUUCCUGCGGGGAAGAUGGCUUCUGUUACCCAAGCUGGAGUGGUGUGACAUGAUCACCGUUCACUGGAACCUGCACCUCCAGGGAUUAAGUGACCUUCCCCACUCUGCCAUCCAGGUAGCUGGCACAAAACGCACGCCACCACACCCAGACCAGGAGCUGAGGAAUGAUGCCACCACUACCACCAACCACCUGUGAGCUCGCUUCUCUGUGUUUCACAUUAAUAAAUGCACAUAGAAAAGUCCA
rnacentral:lncRNA from 13 species